rnacentral:lncRNA from 10 species
CACGCUGGCCCAGCCCUGCACGCUGGCCGCGCCCCGCCAGCCGGAGCCCCGCCCCGCCCCGCCCCGCGCCUGCCUUGCCCGGUCCGCCCUGUCUUCCAGCAGGGCGGGGCCCGGCUCCGGUUGUUCCGCCACGUUUGAGCGGGCGAGCCCGGCGGCCGGGAGACGCCAGGGAACGGGGCUGGUGGGGGUACAAAGGCUCGGUUCCGUCGCCUUCAGCCCUGCGGUGGGGGCACGGGGCAAGUGAGGGGACGGCAGAGGCGGCGUUCGGUGUGAGGCUGCGCCCUGGGCUCCUGAAAAUCCAGGGCUGCAGUCAUUUGAAGGCUUGACUGGGGCUGGAGGAUUUUCAUCCAAGAUGGCUCACUCACCCAGCUGUUGGCAGGAGACCUCGGUUCUUUGACUUCUCCGUAAGACUGUACGGAGUCUCACUCUGUUGCCAGGCUGGAGUGCAGUGGCACGAUCUCGGCUCACCACAACCUCUGCCACCUGGGUUCAAGCGAUUCUCCUGCCUCAGCCUCCUGAGUAGCUGGGAUUACAGCCUGAGUCGAAGCUGUUAAAGAGGCCAAGAAUUCCCAAGCUUUCCCAGGCAAACGGGGAAGAACACUGGGAUGCCUUUUCCUCCUCCUCUGUCCAUCUGCAGGCCAAGUGUGCAUCAGUCACAGGCAAACUCUGAAUUGAGCUUUGUGCAAGUCUCUGGAAAGAGACCCAAGAUCGUGUGAUGAGCAAAAGUGACAGUGCUGGAGGCAGCGACAUCUGCAGAGCCAGCCCCAUCCCUAUCUGCAGCAGAAUAUGUAUGGGGAUCCUUUAUGUGAACAAUCCACCCAGGGUAGAAUGGGGCUUUUGACAUCAGCUGAGACCCAGGCGGCCUUACAAUGAGAGGGCUGUUGGUCAAAGGAAGGACUGUUUAAUGAACUGAGAAUCUGAGGCCAGCUCUGGCCAUCUGCACUUGGAAUCAUUAGAGCAACUCUACUGUAACUGGCAACCUUGAAUAAUGCAGCAAAUUCAUAUUCCAAAAUUGUGAACUUUAAAAUUUUGUGUUUGUGUCUAUGAUGAAAAGCAUUAUAUAAACAUUUGAUACUACAAUUUUAUUAGUAAGGAAGGCUGAAAAAGUAUCUCUCUUUUGACUCUGAGGUCAAUAAUGAUAAUGGCUUUUCCCCUACACUGGGAUAGAAAUGUUCUGUCAAGGAUAUGAAAACACUUUAUGAAAAUGAAAUUCAUUAAAGCCCUUAAUAAUCAGGUAGGGAAGGCAGGUGCUCACAAUUGUCACCUGUUGGUGAGUGAACACCUUAGGCUCGGGGAGGACAAUGACUCAAGAACAAGGUCGAAUUGCAGGUGGGGGGUGAAGCUGAUCCCUAACAGUGUCCUCCAGCCCCUGGCACUGAGGAAGGACAUGGAGGGCUUGCAUCGACUUUUCCUGGCAGGCUUGUGAUUCCCAGCCAGAAUGCAGGUGGCAAUGUUGUGAUUCCUGGCGUAACCUUCAAUGCUUCAAUGAUAAUCUCUGCUGGUGCCAGGCACCAGCUGAGUGUCACUGUGCAGCUCCCAGGCUUAAGUGAUGCAUGCCGAGGUUUUCAGAGCAGUCUCUCAUUUAUUAGUUGUGUUGGAAAGAAAUCUGUACUACCUAACUGGGUACCUCUGGAUUUUAACAGCUGUGGUUUAUAAGAGAUAUGAGAGGGGGUUUGUUUUCAAAGUGCCUUUCACAAAGUAACACCUUAGACUGUAGUUUACAUUCCAUUCCAGUAGGAUAACUUGCAACACUUCUGUGCUCAGAAAUCCAACUGUGCAAGAAAAGUCAGGUUAUAUUUUCAUACAGCCCGUUCUGGCAAAUAUGCCUUCACACCACUUUCCCUCCUCCUCACCGCUAUUGGCAAUAGUCCCAAUGGAAGAGUUUUAUGUCAAAUGCUGAGUAUCUUGGAAGCUGUCCUGCACAGACACGACUGCUUGGCUGCGUGUUGGAGAGUCGCGGUUGGACUGGGAGACCAGGAAGGUCCCUUCUGGUCUGAGAUGUGAUGACUCUAGAACUAAUUAGUUUCAACUCAUAACACGAAAUGAUACUAGCUACCAUUUGGUGGGCUUUUUCUGUGUUCCAGGCUCUGUGCUAAGAUCUUAGCAUUACUCUAAUUACAAAAUCCCUGCCAAUAUUAUCCUCAGUUUACGCAAGAACAAAUGGGUUUAGGGAAAUCAAAAACUUGUCCAAUGACACAGAUUUAAGAUUUAGCAACUGAUGGCCACGUGGAAAUGGAUUACAGAUUAUUCUAAUUGGACACUCUAAACGUGCAAUUUAACCAGAAUGAAAUUUAGGGCUGCGUGCUGUGGCUCAUGCCUGUAAUCCUAGCACUUUGGGAAGCCAGGUGUAUCCCUUAAGCCCAGGAGUUUGAGAGCAACUUGGGCAACAUGGUGAAACCUGUAUCUACAAAAAAUACAAAAAUUAGCCAGGUGAGGUGGUGUAUGCCUGUAGUUCCAGCUACUUGGGAGGCUGAGAGAUGGGAGGAUUGGUUGAGCCUAGGAGGUCGAGGCUGCUGUGAGCUGUGAUGGUUCCACUGCACUCCAGCCUGGGCGACAGAGACAGACUCCAUCUCAAAAAAAAAAAAAAAAAAAGUAGCUACCUUGUGGUUGCACUCGUCUGAGACUAGCUCAUGGCUCCAGCUCUCAGGGUGGUGAGUAAUGAUUCUGUGGUCAGACGCAGUUUUGAAGUCAGGCAAGAAAACCUUCAACAAGAGUUAGAGAUGUCCUGUCUAUGAAUUUCUCCUCUAGGCUUAGGGAUAGCCCUGGGAUUCAUGUCAUGCCAGUUAGGGAUCCACUCAUUGUAAGCAAUACAAGUGCCCCCGAAGAGACAGUGCAUUAAUUGUCACCCCUUAGGAGCAUUGUGUGAAUUAGUGUGAUUUAGCACAUGCCCAGAGGGAUGAAACUCUAGCUCCAUAGGGUAGGUCCUGAUUACUCCUGGAGCAGGCAGCCAGCUCAGCUCAUGGGGAGCUCUGAGAAGUCUCUCAAUGCCUCGCAUGCAGCCCCUGCUCAGGAGUCAUGUGUCACUUCACAGUCUUGCUUUCCAGUGGGUCAAAGCAUGAUGUUUAUGAGAAACAAAUACACAAAAUUCUGACUUGUGUGAAUACAGAACACGUGCAAUAAAACGACUGCAAUCUAUUUUUAAAAUGUGGUCUGAGAAGUCAGGUUUAAUAUGACUAUGUAAUAUAUAAACAAUAUAUUUUCCACAGAAAGGAAAAUAUAAAUAAUAAAAUAUGUCUAUUUCUUUUUUUUGGUGGAAAAUUACUCCCACAAUUUGGUCCCAAGGGGGUCUUAAUUUGUCAUCAGGUCUGUGGCUAAAUGUCUUAUAAAGGAAUGCUUCUUUCUUUCGAGAAGUGUACAGGAACAGUCUGCACUGACUGCUUUUACCUGUAAAUGUUUUGAGAAUUCAGAAGUCACUUUCCUUCCACAAUAGGUGCUAGGCAUUUUAUUUAAAUAAAGCAAAAACAUUUCUGUCAUAAAGAAGGUGUUAAUAACCUCAAAGCUAUGCGAAAUAUACUAGUACAAUCUAAUACUCAUGGUGAAAAAUACAGUAAUUAAGAGCAAUUCAAGUUUUUUUGUUUUGGUUUAACUUCAGAAUUAAAAUAAACUCAGAAUUAAAAAAAUAAAAAAUGGUUUUAUUACAUGUCAGAGUAUUGAGAUACAAAAUAUAUACCAGAU